rnacentral:rRNA from 1 species
UACGUAGGGUCCGAGCGUUGUCCGGAAUUAUUGGGCGUAAAGAGCUCGUAGGCGGUUUUGUUGCGUCGGCUGUGAAAUCCCGAGGCUCAACCUCGGGUCUGCAGUCGAUACGAGCAAACUAGAGUGUUGCAGGGGGAGACUGGAAUUCCUGGUGUAGCGGUGAAAUGCGCAGAUAUCAGGAGGAACACCGGUGGCGGAGGCGGGUCUCUGGGCAGUAACUGACGCUGGAGGAGCGAAAGCGUGGGGAGCGAACAGG